UCUGGCUCAGAUUGAACGCUGGCGGCAGGCUUAACACAUGCAAGUUGAGCGGGGAAGGUUGCUUCGGUAACUGACCUAGCGGCGGACGGGUGAGUAAUGCUUAGGAAUCUGCGUAUUAGUGGGGGACAACGUUUUGAAAGGAACGCUAAUACCGCAUAAGUCCUACGGGAGAAAGCAGGGGAUCUUUGGACCUUGCGCUAAUAGAUGAGCCUAAGUUGGAUUAGCUAGUUGGUGGGGUAAAGGCUCACCAAGGCGACGAUCGGUAGCUGGUUUGAGAGGAUGAUCAGCCCCACUGGGACUGAGACCCGGCCCCGACUCCUACGGGAGGCAGCAGUGGGGAAUUUUGGACAAUGGGCGCAAGCCUGAUCCAGCCCUUCCGCGUGGGUGAAGAGGGCCUUCGGGUUGUAAAGCCCUUUUGUCAGGGAGCAAAUCCUGCGUGUGAAUAAUGCGCGGGGAUGAGAGUUCAUGGAGAAUAAGCACCGGCUAACUACGUG
rnacentral:rRNA from 1 species